AAUUAUUUGAUGAAUUUUAUAAUAGAUAAUGAAAGGAACAGUUAUUUUUAUUCUGUGUUUGAUGUGUGUUACUUCUGGGGUGAUUGCUGGAUUUAUUUCUUUUGGGGCUAAUGAAUAUACUGGGAAUAUAUUACCAGGAUGUAUGGAUCAAAGAAAAAGGCGUGUGGACAGAAUUCAGCUUAGUCCUCCUCGCAAAUUAGAAAUCAUACCAAUGAGGAAAUCUAUUACUAUGCUUCAACCGGUAUUUAACCGGAGGAUAUGUUAAUGAAGAAUUUUUGAAUAUGAAGUGAUUUGGUGUUUUAGAUUAUGUUAAUUGAUAUAAAAAAAUUAUUUUGAUGUAUUUGAUUUUAAAACUGCAGAAUUUGAUUUUUCUUUUUAAUAAAAUUAAAGUAAAAUGUUUAAAA